UAGUCUGGUUGGACUUUCUCAGGAAAGGGCAGCAGAACUCAUGACUAGUACCAGUCCCAUGGUUACCCUGGAAGUUGCAAAUCAAGGCAUCCUCUCUCACUGCCUGUCCACCUUUCUUACCCAGCCAUUGUCCUCCAUGGUGCAGAGAGUUAAGAGCUAGUGACUCAAGCCAGGCUGGUCAAAGAAUGUAUAUAAAAGAUCACCCUAUUAUACAAGAGCAGUUAUUAAAUAUAAGAAUUUUAGAUGCAUCCUUUGAAGCUCUUCAUCUUGGAAAGAACGAGGGAGAGAGAAUGAAUGAAUUGGCUUUGGUUUCAGUUUCAGAUCGUUAUGGCUCAGGUAAACCCAGAACACAGAGUGAAGUUUUUAUGAGUUUUAUUUUUCUUGGAUAUUUUAUGUAUUUACAUUUCAAAUGUUACCCACUUCCCAUGCUCUCCCAACCCCCUGCCCCUGCUUCUAUGAGUAUGAUCACGCUCCCACCCACCCAUUCCCAUCUCAGUGCCCUGGCAUGAAGAUGCUUGCAGCUGAACAUUACACUGAAUAUGGGGACCCCAAUGGAGGAGUUAGAGAAAGAACUGAAGGAGCUGAAGGGGUUUGCAACCCCACAGGAAGAACAACAAUAUCAACCAACCAGACCCCACAGCUACCAUGUAGGAAACCAUGAACUCAUGAGUACACAAGGAGGGAUCCAUGGCUCCAGCCACUUAUGUAGCAGAGGAUGGCAUUUUCCAGCAUCGAUAGGUGGAAGAGUAAAGGUUUUGAGCUCUAUAAUAAUUCAGCUCAAAACGGCUCCCCAGAGAGUCCUCAAAAGCCUUGGACAGAGCACAGUCAUCCAACAAAGCUGGCUGGUAAAGACAGGCUGAUGAAAAACAGAGCAGAUCACCUUUUCAGCCCCAAUGUGACAAGUAAGAAGAGGCAUUCUCUAAGUCACCUUGUCACCCAGAUCAUUGUUUAUACUUUGAUCAUUGUUUUUUGUGUCCCUUGGCCAGCUAGAAUACAGUUUUCAUAGAGGUUUCAUAUUAGUCCAAAAUUAGGAUUUUAUUUGGAAAACCCUUGACCUUAUAGAUCAAAAUGCACUGUAAAUGUGUCUUCAAAAUGGAUCGGGUUUCCAAGUUAGUGGAGAUCAUUUUUACACUUAAAAGAGUGGCUAACAAAGUAGUGAGGAUGGAGUAUACUGAAUAGAGACCCCAACGUCCAAAAGGCUUCAACCUCCAAAAGGCUUCAUGUAUUUACUCUCAUGUCUCUAGCACAUAUCUCAUCUGGUCCUGGAGAAAGUCCUUCUCCUGGUCUGUGGCGUCAGGAGACUUGUAGGGGUGCGUGAAGCCGACUUCUGGUACACAUUUGUCUCUGGCUCAGUGCUAAACAUCCUGCCCUCAGUGUAUGAUGGGUAUGCCAUGGCUCCUGCAUUUAAAGGAAUGUUGUUAUGUUUAUUUUACUUGUCAUUUAAUGUGACACUUGGGUUUUUAACACUAUUUCUAAUAGAUCAGCCUUCUAUCCCUGGAGAGAAGUGUGCAUAUACCACUAGAACAGCAG
ensembl:lncRNA